rnacentral:misc_RNA from 1 species
GGAGUUGUGUUUCAUGCCAAGUCCAUUUCAUUUUCUGAUUUUUUUUAAUGCAUCGACUAAAAAUCUUAUACGAUUUUUUGGAAACAUGUCAUGAACAUGAAUUGUAUCUCGUGUGACUGGAGAGUGCUGCAAGAUAAAUACGACUGAAUAUGAAAUGGAUUCUUAAAUGCUCUUUUAAUUUUUUGAAAUUAAGAGAAAAAUGGAUCAUUUAUAUUCAUUCGAAAAUUGUUAACAAUUUGGAUUAUUUUUUUAUUUUACAAUUUUAUACCUUCAUAUAUUGAUGCCAUGUUUUUGAACAAAAGAAUUGUUUUAAUUUGUACAAAUGAUGAUGAAAAAAAAAAUAAAGAUUAACAA